AUAAAUAUUUAUGAAAAUCAAAAAAAUAGAAUGCUUUUAUUUAAACAGAUGGAAUCAGUAGUGUAUGUAUGUAUACAUCAUAUAUAUAUAUAUAUACACAAACAUUAUGAACAAGAAGGAGUAAAGUGAGUACUCGAUUUCAGAAGUUAUUUAUAUUAGUUUUUGGAAACUGAAAACUUCCCAACAAAGUGUUACUCUGAGUUUCUUGUUUCUGAUCUUCAGACAAUAGUUGAUGAUUAGUAUGAGAAAAAGUAACAGUCCAAGCCCCAUGGGUACCUGGAAGCCACUUUUCCAUCUAGGGAUUUUUCAAAUAUAUUACAUACUAUUUCUUGUUUGCAUCCUCAAGACCUCAGCCCAUGCCUGAAAUUGAAGUUUUCUAUAGAAUUAUCUCUAUACAAUAUACAUAUAUAUAUAUAUAUAUAUAUAUAUAUAUAUA